rnacentral:lncRNA from 1 species
CUGUUAAGAGGAGUGCCAUGGCGGUUUUUGUGCAGCGUUGGCAUCGGCAGCCAGUGGAAUAUGAUGGCGUGGUUGGCAUUGAAUGUCAACCAGAGAACAGCCAGAAAAACGGAGAACACCCUUGUUGUCCAUUUGAUGUUAUCCAUGUGCCUCAGUUACUUAUCGAAAGAUGAUCGAUUUGCUUGAAAUUUGGCCAUCAUACAGACCAGUCUUUCCUGAAGAAAUUUAAAACUUCAUAAUUCUCCUGCUCCAUAGGUGGUGCCCUCAGAAUUCUUGUGAACUUCCUCCUGCUGCCAUUGUAACACAUCUAACAUCAGGCAGUUUUGUUUGCUCACUGUUCAUACUAUUCACUUGCCUCCUUUAUUUUCAGAAAGAUAGUUUUGCAGGUUACUAACCCUACUAUACUUAAUCUAGGCAGUAUGGCUGACCGCCUAAUUCACGGUCCCAACAUUUUAGUCAUAGACACUGUAUAGAUGAUUAAUUUUAAUACAUCUAGAUUUACCAGCUAAAAUAAUAUUCCAAUGAUUUGUACAAAGUGUGGUAAGCAGAAUAAACAAUGCUAUUUUCAGCCAUAAAAUUUUAAUGACUCACCAUUUCACAUCAAAACUUCUAAUCCACAUGCCUAACAAGUUUAAAACGAUUCCUAAAAAACAUAUCUCGUAAUUUGUCUUAAAUUUUGUAUUGUGGUCCAUUUCUAUAUUUCACUGUUCCUGAUACUUUUCUCAAUUAGCUUUCUUGUGCUCCUAACUGUAAUUAUGUAAAUUACCACUUUGUUAAGCUGUUAUUUAUGUUUUAAGAGCCAUUACAACAAGAGGUGCAGUGCUUCAUUGUGGGAACUCUCUAUAUGUUUGUUGCCAUCUGCUGUAUCAUAUUUGAAUUCAAUAAAUCAAUCUAUUGGCA